GACGAACGCUGGCGGCGUGCUUAACACAUGCAAGUCGAACGGAAAGGCCCUGCUUUUGUGGGGUGCUCGAGUGGCGAACGGGUGAGUAACACGUGAGUAACCUGCCCUUGACUUUGGGAUAACUUCAGGAAACUGGGGCUAAUACCGGAUAGGAGCUCCUGCUGCAUGGUGGGGGUUGGAAAGUUUCGGCGGUUGGGGAUGGACUCGCGGGUUAUCAGCUUGUUGGUGGGGUAGUGGCUUACCAAGGCUUUGACGGGUAGCCGGCCUGAGAGGGUGACCGGCGACAUUGGGACUGAGAUACGGCCCAGACUCCUACGGGAGGCAGCAGUGGGGAAUAUGGCACAAUGGGCGGAAGCCUGAUGCAGCAACGCCGCGUGCGGGAUGACGGCCUUCGGGUUGUAAACCGCUUUCGCCUGUGACGAAGCGUGAGUGACGGUAAUGGGUAAAGAAGCACCGGCUAACUACGUG
rnacentral:rRNA from 1 species